GGAUUAGGCAUGCAAGUCGUGCGAGAAUCUUCCUUCGGGGAGAGGACAGCGGCGAAAAGGGAGAGUAACGCGUGGUUACAUGCCCCUCGGGUUCGGGAUAGUAGCGGGAAACUGCUAGUAAUACCGAAUAAUAUCUUUGGAUCAAAGGUGUGAUUCCGCCCGGGGAUUGGACCGCGUUCUAUUAGCUUGUUGGCGGGGUAAUGGCCCACCAAGGCGACGAUGGAUACCGGGUGUGAGAGCAUGGCCCGGCUCACUGGGACUGAGACACUGCCCAGACACCUACGGGUGGCUGCAGUCGAGAAUCUUCGGCAAUGGGGGAAACCCUGACCGAGCGACGCCGCGUGCGGGAUGAAGGCCCUCGGGUUGUAAACCGCUGUCAGUUGGGAGGAAGUGCCAGGGGGUUAUCCCCUUGGUUUGACCGAUCUUCAGAGGAAGGACGGGCUAAGUUCGUGCCAGCAGCCGCGGUAAGACGAACCGUCCGAACGUUAUUCGGUAUCACUGGGCUUAAAGCGUGCGUAGGCGGCCUGGUAGGUGAGAUGUGAAAGCCCACGGCUCAACCGUGGAAUUGCGUUUCAAACCACCAGGCUGGAGGAUGGCAGGGGUGAUGGGAACUGAUGGUGGAGCGGUGAAAUGCGUUGAUAUCAUCAGGAACACCGGUGGCGAAGGCGCAUCACUGGGCCAUUUCUGACGCUGAGGCACGAAAGCUAGGGUAGCGAACGGGAUUAGAUACCCCGGUAGUCCUAGCUGUAAACGAUGGGCACUAAGUAGAGGGGUU
rnacentral:rRNA from 1 species